rnacentral:rRNA from 1 species
GGGGAGUACGGUCGCAAGACCGAAACUCAAAGGAAUUGACGGGGGCCUGCACAAGCGGUGGAGCAUGUCGUUUAAUUUGAUACAACGUGCAAAACCUUACCAGGCCUUGACAUAUGAACAACAAAACCUGUCCUUAACAGGAUGGUACUGACUUUCAUACAGGUGGUGCAUGGCUGUCGUCAGCUCAUGUCAUGAGAUGUUUGGUCAUGUCCUAUAACGAGCGAAACCCUCGUUUUGUGUUGCUGAGACAUGCGCCUAAGGAGAAAUUGCCACCGAGUGACGUGCCAGCGCUACUACUUGAUUGAGUGCCGGCACGUAGCUGUGCUUUCAGCAAGAAUUUCACCAUUGGGAGCCGGUGCCUUCCGAAGCACUUUCACGUGUGAAACAAAGUCGUCUUGCCCAAGACCCACGGAGACCUACCUAUAGUGACGUCAAAGUACCAGUGAGCAUGGAGGUUCGGUUGAAAUUGGUUACGACGAUGUCGACUUGGUGGCGGAGGAAGACUCGUCAUGAAUGCCAGAAAAUGGUGUGGAACGUAGUGGUAAUACUACGCACCCCGCUCCGAAUCAAAGAAAAAAGUGCGUGCCGCACUCAAGAGGGACUGCCAGUGAGAUACUGGAGGAAGGUGGGGAUGACGUCAAGUCUGCAUGGCUCUUAUGGGCUGGGCCACACACGUGCUACAAUGGCAAUGAUAGUGGGAAGCAAGGCUGUAAGGCGGAGCGAAUCCAGAAAGAUUGCCUCAGUUCGGAUUGUUCUCUGCAACUCGGGAACAUGAAGUUGAAAUUGCUAGUAAUCGCGGAUCAGCAUGCCGUGGUGAAUAUGUACCCGGGCCCUACACACACCACCCAUCACAUCCUGGGAAUUGGUUUCGCUUGAAGCAUCGGACCAAUAAGCACCCAUGACUUCUGUGUACCACUAGUGCCACAAAGGCCUUUGAUGGUCUUAUUGGCACGGUGGGGUCUUCGACUGGGGUGAAGUCGUAACAAGGUAGCCGUAGGGGGAACCUGUGGCUG